rnacentral:lncRNA from 1 species
UAGUAAAUCACUGUUCUUCAAAAUAUAUAUAAACAGAGAUAUAGUAAAUCACUGUUCUUUUAUAAACUGGGACCUUAUUCUAUUUUUUAUCCCUAUAAUAAUAUAUUUUAUAACUUCUGUUUAGAAUAUUGGCAGAUAAUAGAACUUGAUUGCCUGAUUUUCAAUUUAAACACUUAUCAAUCAAAUACAUAAGUACUUGUUCAGGGUGGAGAAAAGUUAAUACUUUAUAUUAUCUAUGUAUCUCUGAAAGACAAGAAAGUUUCUGUACAUUUACAGACUACAAAUAUAGAAGUUAAAGCAAAUGCCUUCUAGCUGGCAUAAUCUUAGGAAAAAAGCAGACUAAAGUAUUAUAAAUUGGUAGCAGAAGAUGUGUAAAGACAAGACAUGAUCACCUAGAUAAUAUAAAUCAAUUUUCUAUUCUUUUGCUGAAGCCUAGACCCCACACGGCAGCCUGAUGUAAUUCCAUUACCAUGCUUAAUUACUUGGCACUUGUAUAGCCUUUUUAUUUUUGUGUUACUGUUAUUCCUGGUAAAUCAUUCAGAAGAAAUAAAUUAGCUUGCCACUCAAAAUUAACUACUAUGGUGCAUUGCUGCCCCACCCCGCAAAAGAUGAGUUGACAGCUACUGGGCGUUAAUCUAGCCAUUUUUUGAUAACAGAGUAUCUCUUUGCACAUAGUUAUGAGAGUUAUAAACAUUCCAAAUGUAAUUAUCUCAGUCCUUUACAACUUGAAAGUCUAAUUAAAGAAAGUUUAAGACACUAUAAAUCUUAAGGAAUUAGGUUUAUAAUGUGGAACCCAGUCAGAGUUUGGGAUUACAUUGGAAAGUGAGUAUAUUGAAAAGGAUUGCAGAAACAUUUCUCUCAGCCAGAAUUUAAUUGCUCAGAAAACUGAAUUUCAGUAGAAUAGAUGAAAAGUGUUAGGCAGAGAGACUCAGACCUAUGACUGCUGAAGAAAGAGCUAAUUCCAUAUCCCUUUUUCUAGAUGCCCUGGAAUACACUUGUGUCAGUGACAAAUGCUGCUUUGCUGUGCUACACCGAGUACAAGGUCGUGGUAAGACAUGACUGGGAAGCAGUUACCAGAGACAAGCAAGGAUAGCGCUUUGACUGCAUCCUCUGCUGGUGGCUUCUGUAGUUAUGCAUAAAAUUUACUCUGAUCUGUUUACUUUUAUAGCCUGUCUUUACUUUGUUUCUUUUAAUAUUAUGCAUGUUUAGGCUAUGCUUUUUCUUUAAAUAUGUGAGCAAAUCUAUUGGUGUAAUGUACUCAUUACCCUAAAACCUAUAUUUUAAUGGACCUGAAGACCAUAAGGUAGAAGAUCAGAAGAAAAAGAAAAUGCAUACAUUUUUAUCUUUAAAACAAUUCACUUUUAAGAUUAUUUUCUUGAAAGGUAUACCUUUGAUGGAGCCGAAUCUGGUUCCUUCAGGCAGAUACAAUAGGAUACAAUAGGAUAGGACUUCUUGGGUAAAAAAGGUGUAGUAAUCUGUGAGUCUCACCGGAAGGAGAAAGGAAAUUAUUCAUUAAUUUGGCUGAGGCCAGGGUAGUAAGCAGAUUUAUUAUAAAUAUUGGCAGCAGAGGAGUACUUGAAAAGUGCUUAUAAAGUUAGAUCAUCUAUUUUUCCAAGCAAUAUUCUUCAUGUCAUUCCACCUUGCAAAAACUUUGUGGAAAGGAAUAGGCAUAUGAAUGAGCAAUGAAUAGACUUUGCAUUAGAUUGGUAAUCUUGCUACUAGUACAUUAAUUUACUUGUAUUACUGAUAUUUUAAGAUAGGAUUUUUACAGAUGUUUAUAUAUUUUUAAAAAGCCUAUUUUUUUCUUUACCCAUUUUCUCAAUUUUUUUAACCUCGAAAACUUUUUCCUCCCUGAGAGAAAUACAUGGGCUAUCUUCAGCACAGAACACAAACUCUGCCUUCUUUUCUCAAGUCCAGUGAUUCAAGUUUGACACACCACACCACGGUGGAUGUGCCUUUCAUGACGCAUCUUCUCAGCAGCACUAGAAGAUACAUCCAAAGUCCUGUGAGCAAGGUCUGUGGUAUCUGUUUAUUAUGGCAGCCCAGUGAGACUAAGACAGGCCAUCAAAAGACGUGAACGUUUUGGACCUUCUCUUGGGCCCUAGUAAACAGAAAUCAGAAGGAAGAAAACUUUGCUAAUGCUCUGCCAAGCCUCACUUUUCUGUCAUGAUUGGAAGGUUUGAUGUUAUCCAGAAUUUCUCAUGGAAGAUGGAAGAGCUGCAGCAUUACAAUGAAAGCCAUCUUGCAACAGCCUGAGUUCCUUUUUCUUUUACCUGAGUCAGGAACAAAAAAAUAUUCAUGUAUAUUCCCCAAAAGGACAAAAAAGGAUCCAAUGAAAGGGCUAGGUUGUAGAAAGGCUACUUAUUAAACUAAACCACGUUCUGAACUGUUACUGCUACUGGAAACCAGUCCCGAUCCAGACCCCAAAAGAGGAUUCUUGGAUCUUGCACAAGAAAGAAAGGAGAGGGACCUGUAGUCAUUACCUUCAAGGAACCUAAAUCCUGGUGUCUUUAUGGUUAUGGGUGGCAUAUAAUAUACAGACACAGUGAAGGAGUGAGAUGUGAAGGUGCUCUGUCAUUGCCUCAGUCAAGACUUUCAUGGUACAUUGGAAGAAAGAGAAGCGUGAACAAAUUGCAUGAUACUUGAGGUCAUGCUGUGUACCUGUAUUGAACAAGAAUAAGGGAAGAAAGCUGGGAACCUGGAUCUCCCAUAUAUUGGAAGUUUUGUAAAAACCUUGAGGGUCCCUUCCACUACAUAUGGGGAUUAUGGGAACUGCAAUU